GGAGGAUUAGCUCAGCUGGGAGAGCACCUGCCUUACAAGCAGGGGGUCGGCGGUAUCCCGGGUUCGAAUCCCGUACGGGUCACCA
rnacentral:tRNA from 1 species